ACUGCGGUGGCGCAGUGGGUAGCGCACUGGUCAUCUAAAAGAGAGGUCGCGGGUUCGAAUCUACCUACCACUA